UACGUAUGGUGCAAGCGUUAUCCGGAUUUACUGGGUGUAAAGGGAGCGCAGGCGGCACGGCAAGCCUGAUGUGAAAGCCCGCGGCCCAGCCGCGGGACUGCAUUGGGAACUACCGGGCUGGAGUGCCGGAGAGGUAGGCGGAAUUCCUAGUGUAGCGGUGAAAUGCGUAGAUAUUAGGAGGAACACCAGUGGCGAAGGCGGCCUACUGGACGGUGACUGACGCUGAGGCUCGAAAGCGUGGGGAGCAAACAGG
rnacentral:rRNA from 1 species